AGGAGGCAAACCGGGGGAACUGAAACAUCUAAGUACCCCGAGGAAGAGAAAUCAACCGAGAUUCCGAAAGUAGCGGCGAGCGAAAUUGGAUUAGCCCUUAAGCUUUUAAUGAGACAGAUGAAGGCUCUGGAAAGUGCCGCAACAAAGGGUGAUAGCCCCGUAAUCGACAUCUCAUAAUCAGUGAAAACGAGUAGGGCGGGACACGUGAUAUCCUGUCUGAAUAUGGGGGGACCAUCCUCCAAGGCUAAAUACUACUGACUGACCGAUAGUGAACCAGUACCGUGAGGGAAAGGCGAAAAGAACCCCUGUGAGGGGAGUGAAAUAGAACCUGAAACCGUGUACGUACAAGCAGUAGGAGCACCUUCGUGGUGUGACUGCGUACCUUUUGUAUAAUGGGUCAGCGACUUAAUUUUAGUAGCAAGGUUAACCGUUUAGGGGAGCCGUAGGGAAACCGAGUCUUAACUGGGCGUACAGUUGCUAGGAUUAGACCCGAAACCAGGUGAUCUAGCCAUGGGCAGGUUGAAGGUUGAGUAACAUCAACUGGAGGACCGAACCGACUAAUGUUGAAAAAUUAGCGGAUGACUUGUGGCUAGGGGUGAAAGGCCAAUCAAACCUGGAGAUAGCUGGUUCUCCCCGAAAGCUAUUUAGGUAGCGCCUCGGACGAAUACUACUGGGGGUAGAGCACUGUUAAGGCUAGGGGGUCAUCCCGACUUACC
rnacentral:rRNA from 1 species